AGUGGCGGACGGGUGAGUAACGCGUGAGAAUCUGCCUUCUGGUCGGGGACAACCACUGGAAACGGUGGCUAAUACCGGAUGAGCCUACGGGUAAAAGAUUUAUUGCCAGAAGAGGAGCUCGCGUCUGAUUAGCUAGUUGGUGAGGUAAAGGCUCACCAAGGCAUCGAUCAGUAGCUGGUCUGAGAGGAUGACCAGCCACACUGGGACUGAGACACGGCCCAGACUCCUACGGGAGGCAGCAGUGGGGAAUUUUCCGCAAUGGGCGAAAGCCUGACGGAGCAAGACCGCGUGAGGGAGGAAGGCUCUUGGGUUGUAAACCUCUUUUCUUGGGGAAGAAAAAAAUGACGGUACCCAAGGAAUCAGCAUCGGCUAACUCCGUGCCAGCAGCCGCGGUAAUACGGAGGAUGCAAGCGUUAUCCGGAAUUAUUGGGCGUAAAGCGUCCGCAGGUGGCACUUCAAGUCUGCUGUCAAAGGUCGGGGCUUAACCCCGGAAAGGCAGUGGAAACUGAAGCGCUAGAGUGUCGUAGGGGUAGAGGGAAUUCCCGGUGUAGCGGUGAAAUGCGUAGAGAUCGGGAAGAACAUCGGUGGCGAAAGCGCUCUACUGGACGACAACUGACACUCAGGGACGAAAGCUAGGGGAGCGAAUGGGAUUAGAUACCCCAGUAGUCCUAGCCGUAAACGAUGGAUACUAGGUGUGGCUUGUAUCGACCCGAGCCGUGCCGUAGCUAACGCGUUAAGUAUCCCGCCUGGGGAGUACGCGCGCAAGCGUGAAACUCAAAGGAAUUGACGGGGGCCCGCACAAGCGGUGGAGUAUGUGGUUUAAUUCGAUGCAACGCGAAGAACCUUACCAGGGCUUGACAUGUCUGGAAUCUCCUUGAAAGGGGAGAGUGCCUUCGGGA
rnacentral:rRNA from 1 species